UACGUAGGGUGCGAGCGUUGUCCGGAAUUACUGGGCGUAAAGAGCUCGUAGGUGGUUUGUCGCGUUGUCCGUGAAAACUCACAACUCAAUUGUGGGCGUGCGGGCGAUACGGGCAGACUGGAGUACUGCAGGGGGAGACUGGAAUUCCUGGUGUAGCGGUGGAAUGCGCAGAUAUCAGGAGGAAGACCGGUGGCGAAGGCGGCCUGCUGGGCAGUUACUGACACUGAGGCGCGACAGCGUGGGGAGCAAACAGG
rnacentral:rRNA from 1 species